rnacentral:rRNA from 1 species
CCUACGGGAGGCAGCAGUAGGGAAUCUUCGGCAAUGGACGAAAGUCUGACCGAGCAACGCCGCGUGAGUGAAGAAGGUUUUCGGAUCGUAAAACUCUGUUGUUAGAGAAGAACAAGGACGUUAGUAACUGAACGUCCCCUGACGGUAUCUAACCAGAAAGCCACGGCUAACUACGUGCCA